AUUGAACGCUGGCGGCAGGCCUAACACAUGCAAGUCGAACGAGUGGCGGACGGGUGAGUAAUGUAUGGGAAACUGCCUGACGGAGGGGGAUAACUACUGGAAACGGUAGCUAAUACCGCAUACCAUCAGAUGUGCCCAGAUGGGAUUAGCUAGUUGGUGGGGUAACGGCUCACCAAGGCGACGAUCCCUAGCUGGUUUGAUAGGAUGACCAGCCCCGCUGGGCCUGAGACACGGUCCAGCCUCCUACGGGAGGCAGAAGUGGGGCAGAUUGGACAAUGGGCGCAAGCCUGGUGCAGCCGUAGCGCGUGUAUGAUGAAGGCCUUGGGGUUGUAAAGUACUUUCGGCGGGGAGGCGUUACCCGCAGAAGGAGCACCGGCUAACUCCGUGCCAGCCGCCGCGGUAAUAC
rnacentral:rRNA from 1 species